ensembl:lncRNA
AUGAUGCGCUGCCUUAGCAAGCGACUUACCCAGCCUGAAGUUCUGGCGAGAGCGUCACCGCCGCCCCUUUUGUCGUUCGUGACGGAAACGGAGCCACAAACGAAUGCGACUGGGCGUAAACGUCACCCAGUCGGCAGCGGAAACCGAGCUUUGAACCCGAACUGGCCAGCGGGUUUUCUCUGUUCCGUCGGCUCGUCGAGUUGCCAAACGGCCGUAGCCGUCCGGACGGUCGCCACGGUGAAUCGAAGUAACUUGGCCGCGGCCUGUCCUCCUGGCAGUGUUGUAAGAUGGGACGAAAUGGGAAAGCUGCAGUCUCUGUAUUGCACUUCCAAUGUCCUUCUCACCCCAGCAGCGCCUGCAGGGAAAGCCGCAGCUGCCUCUCUUCGGAGAAUGCGGGUUCUCGCGCAGAAGAAACGGCCUUUCCUGGCUGCCGAGCUGGGACAGGAGGGCACGCUGGACGUGCGGGGGGAGCUUUUUGCCAGAGGUAAAAACAAAGGUGACACUGAACCUUCCACGGGAGGUAACUUGAGGGUUGUUUGUCAGCACUGCUUUCCGAUUUACAAAACGCCAAACGCCUCUGACUCUGGACGAAUCGAGCGAUUGACGGGACACUGCCCAGCCAUCGCUGUUUGCUAGAAUUUGAGCUAUAUUUUAAAACCCCAGAGGAUUUGCUUUUAUUCGCCAUCCGUUUGUCCGUGCCCCAGGGACCUCGCCCUUCUCAAGCACCGAACCUUCUCAAGCCAAUUGCCGAAGGGGUCUUUCAAUUUCCAGCGCUCAGAUGUCUUGGCAAAAUUCAGAGCGGUGGGUCUUGGUGAUAGCAUAAGAACAUCCAGGCCAGGUCAGACCAAAGGUCCAUCUAGCCCAGUGUCCAAUGCCAGGUGCCGCAGAGGGGAUGAACAGAACAGGGAAUCAUCCAGUGAUCCAUCCGCCGUCGCCCAUUCCCAGCUUCUGAGCUUAAUAUGCUGACCAGUUUGGGGAUGGUUAAAAGAUAGAUGGCUAGAUUCGGAUCAACGUCCUUCUGCCUCCCUGGGUUUUCCACCGGGAACACGAUGAAAAACCCAGCACCCCAAUCGCCUGACGGACGUCCGCCUUGCCCUGACCACUCUCAGCGUGCCCUAGAUCGCUGCCGUCCCCUCUCCCGUUGGAGAGUGCCACCCACAGGGGCUAAUGUCCGUUUGCAAACUUCAUUAGAAGAUAGAAACGCUCCUCCUGUUGUCAAUCAAGGUCUUUAUUUACACGCAGCUGAAAUGUUUUUCAUUUUAUUUGGUCAGCUACUACCGCCCGCCUCUCGUCCUGACAUUCUCCGAUGGGCCGGGGGCCGAUCAAAUGGAGUAUCACGGGUGAGGCCCUCCUGUGUGGCCUGGGGCCAGUGCUGGGUGUGGUGGGGGGACGGGGAGCCCAGCACAUCCAUCUUGAGCAAGUCCCCUUCACGUGGCUCCAGAGAGCCGUGGGGGGCGUCUGUCCCUGGAGCAGGCUGUGCCCGUUGAAAGGCUCCUGCGGGGGCGGGGAGGGGAGCAACGAGGGGCCGCCGUUCGCAGAGGUGGGGUGACCCCUGCCCGUGUGGCUGUGAGCUCUGGUGGGUCCGUCUGGUCUUAUGCUUAAGUUGCUGUUAUUUAUUAGGUGGGGGAGGACGGGA